GCGCGGCGGGCCCCUCCCUGCCGGGCUCCGCGUUCUGGAGCCGCGACUUUUCUGAUGAAGAACAAUCCGUAGUUUAUGUUCCAGGAAUCUCCACAGAAAGAAAUACAAGAUCAAGGCUCAAGUUGAUAAAUCCAAAAGUUGAUGCUAAAGUUAAGGUUCCCAAGGUGACUGAUAUUCCUGCCUCCAUGGAGUCUUUAAAAGGUGCAGGAGAUUCAGUAGCUGAACAGAGUAAGUGAAGAAAAGGAGGUGACAGAGGAGCGACUGAAAACUGAGCAGGAGUCCUUUGAGAAGAAGAUCCGGCAGUUGGAGGAACAGAAUGAACUGAUCAUCAAAGAAAGGGAAGAUAUCCUUUUGAAAGUUUCUGUUAUUUUAUAUCCAGCAGAUGUGACUCUUGUAUGAAGAAAUUAAAAUCAGAGAAAUAAUACAUGUUAUACUUUCAACAGAGAAUACAUCUGCAUGUGCUGCCGUCUAGGCAUUUAGAAAGAUAUUAGUAGCAUGUGGUAUUUCUUCCUUUGUACUUGAUAAGGCCACCUAGCUUCUCUACACGCUAGUUACUACGCAGAUUUGUCAACUAAAACAUGAUAAGAAGUCUAGGCACCACCGUAAGAUGUUGGAUCUUUAUUAAGUCCUGUCCCACUGUAGUAAUGGAGUCUUAGCCUCCUUAUCGUUAUAUUUCUUAUAGAUAAAGCUUAAAUAGUUCAUAGAUAUGCUGCUU
rnacentral:lncRNA from 1 species